GGUGAACGCUGGCGGCGUGCCUAACACAUGCAAGUCGAGCGAUUCUCUUCGGAGAAGAGCGGCGGACGGGUGAGUAACGCGUGGGUAACCUGCCCUGUACACACGGAUAACAUACCGAAAGGUAUGCUAAUACGAGAUAAUAUACUUUUAUCGCAUGGUAGAAGUAUCAAAGCUCCGGCGGUACAGGAUGGACCCGCGUCUGAUUAGCUAGUUGGUAAGGUAACGGCUUACCAAGGCGACGAUCAGUAGCCGACCUGAGAGGGUGAUCGGCCACAUUGGAACUGAGACACGGUCCAAACUCCUACGGGAGGCAGCAGUGGGGAAUAUCGCACAAUGGGCGAAAGCCUGAUGCAGCAACGCCGCGUGAGCGAUGAAGGCCUUCGGGUCGUAAAGCUCUGUCCUCAAGGAAGAUAAUGACGGUACUUGAGGAGGAAGCCCCGGCUAACUACGUGCCAGCCGCCGCAGUAA
rnacentral:rRNA from 1 species